AAAAUUUUAACGUCAAAUUUGCAUUUGACUUUUCGGCUUUUCUAUGUUUGGAUUUAUAUCCCUAUUUAUAUUUCAAACUAACUUUGUUUCUGCUGUCGCUAUUGAUGGUAUUAGUGAUGGAUUUGAGAAAUUUUGACCAACAGAUUCAGACCUGCUAAAUCUAGAAGCAAUGGACCUGACAAAAAGUGCAUUCCUGAUCAUCCAGUUUUGCAUCUAAUGCGAGCAUCAACAACCCUAAAACGAGUUUCGGCAUUGGAAUUUUUGUCCCACCGUUGAUAAGCGAAGUUUCAAGAGGCGACAGCUUGGUCCCAACUGUUGUUGAAACAUAGUUUGUCAAUUAGGAGGCCAUGCAUUGAAAUAAAAGUGUAAACAUUCAUGCCUGAGUAACCAAAGCUUCUUCAGAGAUAUUUGUUGAUGAAUUAUUAUAGUUGCAACAUACGUCGUACAUACGUAAUCUUUUGUUGAAGUUGCAGUUCUAAAAAUUGUAGAUAAUCCGGAGGAAGGGGAAUGAAAUUAUCUAUUUCAAAAUCGAAUCUUCUCAGCUUCUUCUCGAACUCUCCAUAUGGAAGAAACGCUUAUGGUAUUUGGAAGUCUGUAGACUAAGAGCAUGCCAUGAAUAUAAGUUGAUGAUUGCCACCUGAUGCACAAAUGAAGGCCUACAAAUCAAUAUUUCUUCCGAAGCAAUUACUGAUGCCAAUAACCAACUGAGGGUCGUUUAUUUUGGCGUUAAAUCAGUGAAUACAGCAAGCGCCAAACGUGAUGGCGAGCCCGCCUCAUCAACACAAACUCAUUUUCAAUGUAACCCCCACUACAGGUCUUGGAAGACAUACGAAUACUAUAUACAGAGGCGUAUCACUACUUGUCCUCCAAUGCUGUUGGCGUUUGGCAUUGUCUGAAUGAUUUGUGUUUUUUCUGAAAAAAUGUCAUCGCCCAACAAAAGUUCAUUUUUGGAUAAAUGUAUCGUUAUAUAACACUUUAAUGAACUGUACUACUUACUACCUAUAAUACUAAAUGUUAAAUUUGCUACCCCAAUUAAAACUAAUUAUAGGUACGUCACUGGCCGGCAAGGGGCCAGUGACGUACGUAACUAAUAGUAAUUUAGUUGGGAGAGUCUACACCUGCACGAUCGCUCGCCAUCACCUUUGGCGCUUACUGUAAAAUAAGUGAAAUACUGUUUUACGGAGAAAGUGUAAUGAAUCUGUUUCAUCAUUGGAAAUAUUGAAUUAAUCAUAUUUACAUAAUCAGAAAAUUUAGAUAUAUAUCGAUUAUGACCUAGUACUGUAAUAUUUAUAAGGAAUAAAUAAUAUACACAUUGA